ACUGUGUGUACAUGCGUGUGAAGCGGUCCAGCCUGGUGUGUAAGCAGAGAGUAUGGACGGCCCAGCUGGUGCACGAUGCGCUCGCUGUGUGUCGAGUGUCAGAGCGACGCCAUGGCAACCGACAGCCGUUGUGCUGGUGAUGGGUUAGACGGCAACAAAACAUUCUGGACUGCUGCGUCCGCACCUGGUUGCCAUGGUUCCUGGGUGAGAGAGUCGUCGCUUGAAAAGUGCCGCUGCCCUCCGCACUCCGUGCUGUUUGUCUGAGCAGAAAUGCCCCAAAUCCACCCACACCCCCCCACCUCUCACAUGAAGAGACAUGGUACUGUCACAUGGCUCCCUGUUAACCAAUAAUAGCUCAUCCAGAAACGUUGGGAGGCUACCAUUUGGAAACACAAAGGGGUGUUGGUAUCUCUUGCUAGUCUCUGAUUACGCUCAUGUUACACUACACUUCUAUUACCCCAAUCAUAAGUAUUGUAACUCUUGUUUUAUAAAGUAUUUAGAAUCACGUUCCACGAGAACACAAUAAUAGCCCCAUUUCUGUUCUUAUCCUGACCCCUGCUAUCUACCUCCUGUUGCCUUUAAAUAUAUGUUAUGUACAAUUAUUAUGAAAUUAUUACUAUUAUUAUUUUGAUUUAUACAUCCACUCUUUGUGUAUCUGGAUACUGUAUGUUUUGUACACCUGUUUUGUAUGUGUUUGUCAUUUUGGAAUGUUUGCUGUGUGUGUGUGUGUCUGAAUGAAUGUGUGCUCUGUAUGUGGCAACAUUUUGACUGUGUGUGACCUGUGCACUUGACUUGUGGAUUGUUUCUUUGGGAACUCUAUGUGACAGCGCAGUUUGUAUGUUUAUGUGUACUGUUCUGUUCUGUUAUUUUGUUCUGUUUUGUUCUUGUAUAUGUAUCAAAAUCCAAAGUCAUUUCAGAGAGCUCAGCACGUAGGUCCAGGUGAGGUUGCAGGACCUUGUACCACGGGUACUUUGCUUCUCAGAUCGAAACAGCGUCUGGACCAGAUGUGGGCCGUAUCAGCACCACAUGUGGACCUGAUCAGGGCCAGCUGUGGGCUGUAAGCUCCAGCUUUGUCGGCUGGGCCGUUCACACCUGGAACGAUAAAUAUAACGAUAACAGCAAACGCUUUAAAAAGUUUGACGUUUUGCUCUAGUUGAUAUGAAUGACGGCGUCCACAUUGCAUACUAUAACGAUAACAACAUGAAGAACAAUAUCGUUUGACAUCACUCAAUAAAAAAAAACUGUCAGCCAUCAUAUUUAUCAACAUGAGACACUUCCUUUGGUCUUUCGUUGGUCAGUGUGGAAGCUCAUAUGGUUAUAGUUACGGUUGUCUGUGUAGUUUUCGUUCCUGUUCUGAAUGGCCCUUUAUAAGUGAAACCAUUUGCCUGGCUGCAGCUCGUUGCUCGUAAGCGACUCCUCCAGAUAUCUAGCCUGUUUAUUUAGGUGUCCAGUUGUGGUCAGUGACUCAUUGACAGGCCUCACAGAGCAUGUCUUUCAAGAGUUCACACAUAGUGAUCGGUAAUUGCCAAUCAAGCGUCGAUUGACCUCCAAUCUGGGGCUUUUGUCGCCGACUUUCAAAAUCUGUCGCUGGCUGUAAAAUCGUGUAGUGUGAUCCAGGAUGAUGGAGAUGCAGUAGAAGGAAAGAUCUGGAACUUGCAGCUUGAUAGCGAGAGCAACAGAGAGAGCAGAGUCCUUACCUGUUCUUAGCAUUGUGCUGUUUGUUUGUUUGUUUGUUUUUUGUUUGUUAUCCUACUGGAAUCAGUGAAAGCCAUGUAGAAAAAAUUGUCCCAGAACCAAAUCUUUCACUACGGGACACACUUAUGCGCGCACACUCACACACUCUCUCUCUCUCUCUCUCUCACACACACACACACACACACACACACACACACACACGCACACACACACACACUCUUUCUUAAAUAGAACCACUCUUAACACUCUUAAAUAGGGUAUACUUUUGCUCCUACAUAAAUCCAUUGUUCAGGAGUAUACCUGAACAGGUCUACAGGUGUGACUUUACUUAUAAUGUUAUUCAAAAAUAAAUAUGCUGUUACACUACAAACUGACUCUUAUAAUGUUAAUCAAUAAAAUAUGUUGUUACAAAA